GCAGUUGAGCGCUGAGGUUGGUACUUGUACCGACUGGAUGAGCAGCGAACGGGUGAGUAACGCGUGGGGAAUCUGCCUUUGAGCGGGGGACAACAUUUGGAAACGAAUGCUAAUACCGCAUAAAAACUUUAAACACAAGUUUUAAGUUUGAAAGAUGCAAUUGCAUCACUCAAAGAUGAUCCCGCGUUGUAUUAGCUAGUUGGUGAGGUAAAGGCUCACCAAGGCGAUGAUACAUAGCCGACCUGAGAGGGUGAUCGGCCACAUUGGGACUGAGACACGGCCCAAACUCCUACGGGAGGCAGCAGUAGGGAAUCUUCGGCAAUGGACGAAAGUCUGACCGAGCAACGCCGCGUGAGUGAAGAAGGUUUUCGGAUCGUAAAACUCUGUUGGUAGAGAAGAACGUUGGUGAGAGUGGAAAACUCAUCAAGUGACGGUAACUACCCAGAAAGGGACGGCUAACUACGUGCCAGCAGCCGCGGUAAUACGUAGGUCCCGAGCGUUGUCCGGAUUUAUUGGGCGUAAAGCGAGCGCAGGUGGUUUAUUAAGUCUGGUGUAAAAGGCAGUGGCUCAACCAUUGUAUGCAUUGGAAACUGGUAGACUUGAGUGCAGGAGAGGAGAGUGGAAUUCCAUGUGUAGCGGUGAAAUGCGUAGAUAUAUGGAGGAACACCGGUGGCGAAAGCGGCUCUCUGGCCUGUAACUGACACUGAGGCUCGAAAGCGUGGGGAGCAAACAGGAUUAGAUACCCUGGUAGUCCACGCCGUAAACGAUGAGUGCUAGAUGUAGGGAGCUAUAAGUUCUCUGUAUCGCAGCUAACGCAAUAAGCACUCCGCCUGGGGAGUACGACCGCAAGGUUGAAACUCAAGGAAUUGACGGGGCCCGCACAAGCGGUGGAGCAUGUGGUUUAGUUCGAAGCAACGCGAGAACCUUACC
rnacentral:rRNA from 1 species